rnacentral:rRNA from 1 species
AUACGAAGGGUGCAAGCGUUAAUCGGAAUUACUGGGCGUAAAGCGCGCGUAGGUGGUUUUGUAAGUUGGAGGUGAAAGCCCCGGGCUCAACCUGGGAAUUGCCUCCAAAACUGCAUGACUAGAGUACGGUAGAGGGUAGUGGAAUUUCCUGUGUAGCGGUGAAAUGCGUAGAUAUAGGAAGGAACACCAGUGGCGAAGGCGACUACCUGGACUGAUAAUGACACGGAGGUGCGAAAGCGGGGGGAGCAAACAGGAUUAGAUACCCUGGUAGUCCACGCCGUAAACGAUGUCAACUAGCCGUUGGGAUCCUUGAGAUCUUAGUGGCGCAGCUAACGCAUUAAGUUGACCGCCUGGGGAGUACGGCCGCAAGGUUAAAACUCAAAUGAAUUGACGGGG